AAGCCAUUAUGUGGGCAAUCUCUUACUAGCCUUUUAAACCUCGCCCAGGCAUCACUGAGCGAUUCGUUAAUUUCCUGUUUAAAAUUUGUAAUUAACUUCCUCUUUCU